rnacentral:rRNA from 1 species
GACGAACGCUGGCGGCGUGCUUAACACAUGCAAGUCGAGCGAAGUGUUCAAGACAGAUUUCUUCGGAUUGAAAUCUUGAACAUCUUAGCGGCGAACGGGUGAGUAACGCGUGAGAAACCUGCCUUUCACAAAGGGAUAGCCUCGGGAAACUGGGAUUAAUACCUUAUGAUACUUCAAAUUCGCAUGAAAUUGAAGUUAAAGCGUAAAGCGGUGAAAGAUGGUCUCGCGUCCCAUUAGUUAGUUGGUGAGGUAACGGCUCACCAAGACCGCGAUGGGUAGCCGGCCUGAGAGGGUGAACGGCCACACUGGAACUGAGACACGGUCCAGACUCCUACGGGAGGCAGCAGUGGGGAAUAUUGCACAAUGGAGGAAACUCUGAUGCAGCGACGCCGCGUGAGUGAAGAAGGCCUUCGGGUCGUAAAACUUUGUCCUAGGGGACGAUAAUGACGGUACCCUAGGAGGAAGCCCCGGCUAACUACGUGCCAGCAGCCGCGGUAAUACGUAGGGGGCAAGCGUUGUCCGGAUUUAUUGGGCGUAAAGGGUGCGCAGGCGGUCUUUUAAGUCAGAUGUGAAAGCUCACGGCUCAACCGUGGUAAGCAUUUGAAACUGGAAGGCUUGAGUUAAGGAGAGGAAAGUGGAAUUCCUAGUGUAGCGGUGAAAUGCGUAGAUAUUAGGAGGAAUACCAGUGGCGAAGGCGACUUUCUGGACUUAUACUGACGCUGAGGCACGAAAGCGUGGGGAGCAAACAGGAUUAGAUACCCUGGUAGUCCACGCCGUAAACGAUGAGCGCUAGGUGUUGGGGGUCAAACCUCGGUGCCGCAGCUAACGCAUUAAGCGCUCGCCUGGGGAGUACGUACGCAAGUAUGAAACUCAA